UUUCCGUAGGUGAACCUGCGGAAGGAUCAUUAUUGUAUAACCGAGGUGCGAGGGCCGUCGCUGACCCGAAAGGUCGUGCACGCCCGAGUGCCCUCACACGCAUCCAUCUCACCCCUAUGUGCACCACCGCGUGGGUCCCCCUUUGGCUUGUUCGGAGGGGGGCUUACGUUUUCACACAAACUUUGUAUGCAGUGUAGAAUGUAUUUUUUGUUUUUGCGAUCACGCAAUCAAUACAACUUUCAACAACGGAUCUCUUGGCUCUU
rnacentral:misc_RNA from 1 species